GGAGGAAUAUUGGUCAAUGGCCGCAAGGCUGAACCAGCCAAGUAGCGUGAGGGAAGACUGCCCUAUGGGUUGUAAACCUCUUUUAUGCGGGGGAUAAAGGCGUCCACGUGUGGAUGUUUGCAGGUACCGCAUGAAUAAGGACCGGCUAAUUCC
rnacentral:rRNA from 1 species